GAGGAAGAAUCCCAUGACGGGGUUCCCCCUGCUUUUCCCGGUCGUGGGCCUCACUGCCAUACUCUCCAGGGAACAUACUCGCACAGAAACCGCUUUCUCAGGAAUGGCUCGCCCUCAUGCAGAUUUGAUAGGCAGCAGCUGCUGUGUCUUGCCACCUUCUGGAGCCUGGUCCUUCUGCACACAAGGCCAGAGUGUGAAAUAGCCCUGGAUGUGCCUGGUCACUUUCCACCGUGGUCACCAGGGGACCCAAUGGGCACUCGAGAGAGUUGGGCCAAUCUAAGGCCCCUGGGAUCUUGAAAUUGGGACCAAAAUCACAGCUACAACUCUCCUAAAAUGACAGCAAAGAGAAAAACGGGUUUGGAAGUUCUCUUGUCUGGAAGUUGCUUUCUCUCCCAUAAUCCAGGAUAUGUGGGGCAUCGGCAGAGAAGAGAGAGAGUGGGGUGAGUUCCCUAACGAAGGACCCAUGUUGAUACACGGCUCCUGGCCAGUGGGGACCCUGAAGAUACUGCCUGACAAACUGAUUCGGGAUCAGGGCUAACACACCUCCCUAAGAUACCUUGGAUCAGUAAGAUCAUCUGAAGUCAAGGUCAGAGAACAGAGCCUGAACUAAGAAGAAAGUA